UACGUAGGUGGCAAGCGUUAUCCGGAAUUAUUGGGCGUAAAGCGCGCGUAGGCGGUUUUUUAAGUCUGAUGUGAAAGCCCACGGCUCAACCGUGGAGGGUCAUUGGAGACUGGAAGACUUGAGUGCAGAAGAGGAAAGUGGAAUUCCAUGUGUAGCGGUGAAAUGCGCAGAGAUAUGGAGGAACACCAGUGGCGAAGGCGACUUUCUGGUCUGUAACUGACGCUGAUGUGCGAAAGCGUGGGAUCAAACAGGAUUAG
rnacentral:rRNA from 1 species